GGUGCUGUGGUGUAGUGGUUAUCACGUUUGCCUUUCACGCAAAAGGUCUCCAGUUUGAUCCUGGGCAGCACCA
rnacentral:tRNA from 1 species